rnacentral:rRNA from 1 species
AACGAACGCUGGCGGCGUGCUUAACACAUGCAAGUCGAACGAAGUAGCAAUACUUAGUGGCGCACGGGUGAGUAACACGUGGGAAUCUGCCCUAAAGUGGGGGAUAACAGCUGGAAACGGCUGCUAAUACCGCAUAAUCUCGAAAGAGCAAAGAUUUAUCGCUUUAGGAUGAGCCCGCGUCUGAUUAGCUAGUUGGUGAGGUAAUGGCUCACCAAGGCGACGAUCAGUAGCCGGUCUGAGAGGACGAUCGGCCACACUGGGACUGAGACACGGCCCAGACUCCUACGGGAGGCAGCAGUGGGGAAUUUUGGACAAUGGGCGCAAGCCUAAUCCAGCGACGCCGCGUGAAUGAUGAAGGCCUUCGGGUUGUAAAGUUCUUUUGGCAGGGAAGAUAGUGACGGUACCUGCAGAAUAAGCACCGGCAAACUCUGUGCCAGCCGCCGCGGUAA